rnacentral:rRNA from 1 species
CCUACGGGUGGCUGCAGUUUCGAAUCCUUCACAAUGGGCGAAAGCCUGAUGGUGCGACGCCGCGUGAGGGAUGAAGGUCUUCGGAUUGUAAACCUCUGUCACCGGGGAAGAAACGCUUCAAGUUAAUAGUUUGAAGCCUGACUUAACCCGGAGAGGAAGCAGUGGCUAACUCUGUGCCAGCAGCCGCGGUAAUACAGAGACUGCAAGCGUUAUUCGGAUUGACUAGGCGUAAAAGUUGCUGAGGUGUCCAAGCCCGGAGCUUAACUCCGGAAUUGCUCCUCAAACUACAUGGCUAGAGCAUUGGAGAGGGUAGCAGAAUUCACGGUGUAGCAGUGAAAUGCGUAGAUAUCGUGAGGAAUACCAGAGGCGAAGGCGGCUACCUGGACAAUUGCUGACGCUCAGGCACGAAAGCGUGGGGAGCAAAAGGGAUUAGAUACCCCAGUAGUC